AGUAAAAAACCAGGUCUGCAUUUUCAUGACCUUAAAUCUCCACAUUGCACGUAAAUUGUAAACGAUUCCUCCAAAAACCAAACAAUACAUACCUGGGGUCUUUCCACACACUGUUCAGAUGGAAGUGGGGUAUAAUGAGAGUGGCGUUUAGUAGCUUUGCAACUGCAACAGCAUUACAAAUCUGCAAUAAAUUCGCAGAAUCAAUGUUUAGACAAAUCCACACGUAUAUCCGAUUCUUCGCAUAAUUCCACGUUCAAUUUCCAAAUUGACACAAGCUGCUACCAAACAGAAUCAGCGUUCAUUUGAACAACAGUGGCACCUGUAUGAGUUUCUAUACAACAAACAAUAGGAAUACUAAACAACACAUACUGUGGAGCGUUGUUGGUUAAGUCCGCCAUUGGCCUCUACAAGAAUAUAACCGUUUGAUUCUGGAAGACCUACAGAAAAUGCAUCAAAACUCAAGGCAUGUUAGUUGAGAUUACAAUUACGAAGAAGGCCCACAAGAAUUACCCACUUUAAAACAAGAAACUAACACUCAAGCAUCACGAUUUACUUCAUCUAUUUAUCCAUCAACGUCAGACAAUUUAAAGACAGUCGAGGCGGAUGCUACGGAACUAGAGGUGGAGAAGGAAUGAAAAAUUCAAAGCGUAAUCACAACAGCAAUGCAGAAUUGUAUGACCAACACAAAACAAAGCAGCUGACGCACAACCUGAAGGACCAACCUCGGCAAUUACCUGCGUCAUUUUUUAUGGAAUUAAGGCAGGGCGUAAAGCCUCCACCGUCUUUAGGGUAUUCCCAAACCGAUAGAACCUGUCGUCCAUGACUUCCUCCAACUGCAUCAUUUAGAGUCCCAAAUUCCACCUAUACACAAUCUAUCCAAUGAGGUUCCAGCCAAGAAUCUAAAACCUCAACUCCAAGAGAUUACAUAAAACCAUGCCAUCCAGGUAGACAGCAGAGCUCAAACAGUUACUGCUGGACGGAACUGCCACUGUCGAACUUGGACGAUUUACAAUUGAAACGAGACUUGUUUCCAUUUCUUAACUACAGAAGUCGUAAAUUGUGACAAUCAGAGACAUGUGAGGGAACGAAAACGUCUUUGGAAUACAAAACUAUCCGAAUCCUUACACAUUACGAGAAAGAUGCUCACCCCAUAAAAGGAGGAGUCAGCCCGCUCCAUCUCCGGCCAUAGAUUCUCAAACACUUGGUCACUCCGAUACACAGAUCCAGGUCGAUGCCUGCCUGGAAACGGCGGAAAGUCUACAGAAAUAUCGCCGCCCAUGUAAAGCAGCAUCCCCGAGACAUAGAUGAAGGGGAUGAGCAGGAGCACUCGAUGUCGUCUAAAGAAGAAAUGUAGCAACAGCAGGGUCAGCUUCUGCAGGAAUGUGGCGCCUUGGCGCGCUUUCACGCCGGGGGAUCCAUACUUAACCUUCGUGUCGCGACUGCUUCGACCGAGAGAUCUCCCGCUGCGUAGGCGCGGGGAACUGCCGGGCGACAUUGGAGGAGAGGAGGAGACAUACGUAGCGACAUGGCUGUGCCCGUUCUGGAUACCAGCAGGGCGGCCGAAUACAUGCAUGUGAUCUUUUCCGUUCUGCAUCAGAGGAUGCGAAGUACCCGCCCGCCGUAGUCCAUCUGUCAACAGCGCUUAUCUAGUUAUUGAACCUCCAGACCAUCACCACCUUGCACAGCGAUAAAAUCUAAACCUCGAUUCCUCUGCUCCUGCUUUCAGUUUUCCGACAAAUUUGGGAUCAACGGGAGAAAACUGCACGCUCCCGAACCGCAGAAUGCAACGACGUAAGAGGUCUCGUUUAGAUGAAGCAGCACCAAAUCCCGUCGUUCGAAAUUCCCAAUGAGAUUGGCGUAUCUAAUAUUUCUCUAUGUAAAGAGUGGAAGCCGGAGUUGGUGUUGCAACCUAGUCGAGUUAAGAGUUAUGGGAGACCAAGUGAAAAAAUAACGUAACAGCCUAUUGUGUCACACUUACUGAGCAUCCCUGCCCAGAUUGUUUCCUGUUGGGGUUUCCGGCAAUGAAGAAAAGGUAUUUCCAAACCGAUGAUGCCUGCACCUUCCUGCAGACGGAUGAAGGAAGGCAGGAAAGAUGGAUGGCGUUGGGAGACUGAUACUUGCAAGAGACCACCUCAAGCAAGGAGAUCCUGCCCCAGUCCUGCAACGACAAACUGCGGAUAAAUUCACUCUGAGAUUCAUACAUGUGUCAGCGCAAAGCUCCACCCCUUCGUCGUCGGCGAACCACAGCCAGCGGCAAAAUCUCCAACCCUUACAGCACCAUAACGAGGUGCGGAACCGCAGAGACCCAAUCAAUCAAUCGAAGCUCCCUCAGAACUUAACCAACCAACUAACCUCCUAACAGUACGAAUUUCCCAACUUCAAAUCAGCUUCACACGCAUCACGCACCCCGACCAGCCGCAAGACACACAAACACACACACACACACACCUACACGCCUCGAAAGGGACGCACACCCAAAAAACGGCCCUCGUAGAACGCCCUUUCCCACCACGAAAUCUCUCAAAAAAGCGAUAAAAAUUCAAUAGUAGGCUGACCUAUACGCUUCACCACAGAAAAACGGCCCCCCUAAGCACCCACCCUCCUCCGAUACACACACAACUCCAAGAGCCCACAGAAACUCUAACCGUGUCGUCUUCGUCCACCUCCUCCUCCUCUUCCGCGGCACAUUGGCACACAACGCAAGCCCUUUCAAAGCCAGCUAAACUGGCAAAUCAUACCGUCCUCUAAAAUAUGUCUUCGACACUAAAAAGCCUGCAUAGCUACGCAAUGACAACCACAACGAGCGAACAACAAAACUCUCACACACACUCUCUCACAUCCGAACCAAAACAGAACCGAUGGAUCGAUCAACUCCCCGACCAGAACGCGCGCUGCCAGCAACAUCCAACAACACACACAUACAUUACUCGUCCCCUUUUGCCUGCAACAUUCCUUCCCCGGGCACUGAUUUACCCCCAACCCCCUCCCCAAUGCCACAGCCCAAUCAUGGCCUCCUCGGCGCCCAGCUGGGAGGCGUCCAUUGGCGAACCGGUGGUACCAGGCGCAAAGCUCACGUUGUUCCUCAGGAACACCUUUUCUAAAUCGUUUAAAACUCUCUUCCCCUGUUAUUGUUGAAAUCGACGCUUUACCAGAUUAGGAUGAGAUGGUGCUCUACUACCGUUUCUUUCUUUCUUACUCUCAAGCCUUUGCCUUCCCUUCACCGUCACAUGAUUUCCUAUUGAGUCCUGUGGGUGGUGUCGAAACUGGUUUUAAGUACGCACUUGGGAGGCAAACUGGAGUUCCCAUUUGCGCUUGUUGCAAUUCUCUCCCUCCGUAAAUAGCCUGCUUCUGUUAAAAUCGGAGUUGCAUUCAGUAAAAUUGAAACUGAUUCACUAUCUACUGCUGACUAUUGGAGAUUGAGUUUAGUGAAACUGUGGCUGAAAGCUGUGUGGGAGGUGCUGAAAUGAGAUUUUUUGCAGGAUUUGGGGGUUCAAAAUGCAUCAAAUGAUGUGUUGGUUUGUUUCAGGAUAUGAUAUUUGUGGGACAAUAACAAAUCAUCUAGCUUUUCUCUUUUCUGGAUUUCAUACAAUUUGUGAAGAAACGAACUAUGAAUGACACUAAUAAAUUUCUGAAAUAGAAAUGGGUAAGUGUCAAAAACGUUGUAAUCUUAGGCUAGAAAAUAGCAAUGAGGACAAAUGGCAUUUGUAUGGUUUGAGAGGUCAUUCUAGGCAACCCACUUUUUGCUUUGCUUUCAAUUCUCUUUGAAAGUGUGUUAAGCUUUGACAUGGGUUAUGAAAUCACAUAAACCCACAAGUAUAAUUGUUGUUGUUGUUAUUAUUAUGGGGUACAUCAUUCCUUUACUUUCAGCAGUGAGAGAGCCAAUGAAUGUUCCACAUAACCCAGAACUGGGGUCUCAUGCCACCACUACAGUCAAAUGCAGGAAACCUGAGCUGUGAUGUAGGUCCAUGUGGUCAGGAAACUGCAAAGUCUCUUUCAAGGUCACAAGCAAAGACUUGGGCAGGGUCACAUCUGGCCCACAGCAGCAAAAGGUAAUUGUGACCAAGUCAAAACAACACUCUCUGUUGUGAGUACUACUGCUUCACUGAGAGAUAGUGGGAAUCAUAAAAAUACUCUUCCUAUUUUUUUUCUUUUUCUUAUCUUUUUUCUUACAAUUGAGUAUUCAAAUGAUAAAUACAAGUUAAGCUAAGGAGAGAGAGUACAAAGGGUUGUUGUCAUUGUCACUCUUUUUAGCACAGGGAUGCAAACUUUGAUCACUCCCAAGUAGAAAGCUACAUUGCAAGGUCAAGCAUCCCUCACAGAAUGAAUAAUUACAAAUGAAUGUGUGUGUGUGUGUGUGUAGGAGAAUCCCCCAUCAAAGACACAUUGCAUUCAAAUCUAGUACCCCAAAUGAUGAUCAUGGAGAAACAACCCUUGAGCUUGUACCAAUAAGAGUGUGUUGGGAUUGAACAUUUGUGGUAAAUGUUAACUUAAUUCAUAAAAUUUAGCUUUGUUCAAAAUAACAAAGUGCAUAUAGCUAUACUUAGAAAAAGAAAAAGAAAAAGAAAAAAACAAAACAAAACAAAACAAAACAUAGCCAUCUCCUUGCAUAGUUAAUUAAACUCAAUGUCUCAUUUUGUUGUGCUAAACCCUUCUACUACAAACACCAUAGUCUAUACCUCAUGCUUUUUAUGUUCAAAUUUGUAUACAAGGGAAGAAGAGAGAAAUGAUAACAAGAAAAUAAAUCCAAAGAUUACUCAUGUGGGGGAGAACAUCCAUUCAUUAAUAUUUGGGGGUUUAUUCUAUCAUGGUACACAACAAUGAGCUCAAUCAAUGUAACCAAACAUAUUACUUUCCACUUUGGGGCCAAAGCAUGAGUCCUAUUCAACAUACUUGGGAUGUUGAAAAAUAGUUACACAUGAAAAAUAUUGACGAGAAAGACAUGCAUUUGGAUAAGGCACUCAAAUGACAUGAUUUUGGUGGCUUAGAAAUACUGGAAGACUUUGGAUUGACAAGCUGACCAGGUGCAUCAGACUCAUCUUCAGAAAAACAAUACUCAGGUGGAUUCCAGAAGACUUGAACUUGUCUUAGUCACAAAGUCUUCAAUAUCAAGUGUCACUUGCUGACCCAUAUGAUAGAUUUUUCAUACAAAUUGAGCAGAAUAUAGCAAGACUUCUCAUUCUACCACCUUCAACUAUUUUAUUUUUGAAUGCAUUUGUGAUUUGAAAUACCAAAAAGCUGCUGGCACAUUUACCAUAUAAGCAAAAUAAGGCAACACAUUAGUGCAUCAUGUUGCCUCCAUUAAAUUUUAGCCUUUGAGUACUGUUGAAUGGAGAGAUUUUUAAGGCUUGCAUACCCACACUUUUGGAUUUUUAAAUUUUUUAAUAUUAUGUUUCUAUAUCACUGCUAAUACAGUUGGUAGUGAUUAAUACAUCAAACAAGCAGACACUCACUCAUGAGCAGCAGUGUACUCCACUGCAUGGGAAUAAAAUUAUAAUAAUUAUUAUCUAGUGAAACUAACAGAGUAGUGGCAAAAAUACCUUAAUAAUGGAAUACUAGUUGGAUUCAACACCACCAUUCACUGUAAACCAUCAUCUUUGCCUUUCCUUAAUUCACACUCCACAUCUAACACAUGACAAAAAAAAAAAAUUAAAAAAAAUAAUGUAUACAAGACUAUGAUAAAGCAUCCACAAGCACAAGUAUGUUGCACAAAAGCUACAACAAAUAAAAAUGAAAACAAAACCAAACACACUGAACUGAGUUAAGUUAAGAGGGAGCCAAGUUCAUUAAGAAUCCAACAAGUGGGAGAAAACAAGAAAAAGCUUUUACGAUGCUUUUACCAUAAUUUGGAUUACAAGGAAUGAUGACUUUCACCACCGAUUAUACUAUCAUUAGUGGAAUAACACCAAAAGGAAUUAGGAAUAGAUGACAUCAUCUUAGGACAGAAAACAGUGUCGAGGGAGGGAGUUGACGUCAGCAUCAUGGAACAGAGGCUGGGGCAUUCGAAUGAAUGAAUGAAUUAGAGGAAGAAGGAUCGUUUUUCAUCCAUUCAUGCACACAGUGGAGUUGGUAGAUGGAUGGUUCCAGAUCCUCUUCCAGCGCAUCCAACACGCCACGUAAUGCUGAGCUGGCGUGAGGCACCAGGACCCACCAAUCACAACCGCCACCCACAAACUGUGCAAAUAAAAAAAACAAACAAACAAACAAACAAACAAAUAGCCCCUCGCCAGCAGCAGUUUUCCAAUAACUAACAGAAUCCAGGGAAACAUUCUCACCCACGAACUGGCUGGCCACUGUGGAUGGCAUUCAGUGCACUUGGAACACACACACAAACCAGACCCAUGCCAAACUGGAAUUGGCUGAGUUGGCAUGCUGAGGUGUCGAUUCAGCGUAACACACUGCCUGGAAUCUUCACCUCCAUCAUCUGUGCCCUGUCCCCCCACUCCGCUAUUGUUACAAGCCUGCACUGCACAUGAUUGUUUCUGUGUUUUCCCACAAAAUCUGGACCCACAUUUGGCCUUUUGUGUGUAUAUAUAUACAUGAUACAUCCUUGGCUCCAAUGUCAAAGGAGGACCAAUGAACCCCCCUCCUCCACAUUGCUCAAUAUUAUAUUUAAGAUUAGGACUUAGGUGGAUGUUUCAGCGCCAAACUGCUUGUUGUGUUUAACUAUUAAUAAACCGUGGUUUUGUUGGACUGCUUUUGUGUCACUACUGGCAAACCCUAAUUCUUUGACCUUGCAUUUGUCUUCACAUGCUUGGUUGGGGUUGUGGGUCACACUGCUUUCUUGUGAAGAACUCCAUUCUCAUGGUCACUGUCAGAGGAAUGUGGGUGUGUGUGUUCAUCAUGGGAUUCUCAAUAAAGUUGGUACUAAAACUUAUAAGUUUUUUGUGUUUAGGAAAAUGGGUCAUGCCUAAUAGUGUUUCUUGAACUGAAAAUAGGAUUAUAUUAGGGAAUAAAAAAUGAAUCAUAUCUUUCAGGAUAUGUAACUAUUAUGUCAUGAGAAAUGAAUCAUAUCUUGCAUGAUAUUAUAAUCUUGCCUGAUAUUAUAAUCUUGCAUGAUAUAUAAUUAUUAUGAGUGGAUGAAACAGAACAAUUUCCUUUCUUUAUAAUAAUGAUAGUUGCAUGUAUCUCAAUUUUAAAUCAUAACAUUGAGUUGUCUUUUCUGACAAGAUAGUUUGAAUCAAUUGUUAAUGAUGUGGUAUAUUCUGUGAUACUUACAGACAACCAUGUUGUAGUUGCUAAAUGGUGUGUUAAGCAGUAUUAUUAGCACACAGUAACUUCACAUUUUCAGCCAUUAAGAAUCUUAAAUGAAUGCGGUGUUGAUGGUGAUCUUAAUCUGGAAACAAAAAAAAAAAAAAAAAACAAAAAAACAAAAAAACAAAAAAAAAGUGAUUAUGAAUUUGAAAGUAGUAAUUUACUUUCAGGAAAAAAAGGAAAAAAAAAAAAAAAAAAAAAAAAACAGGAACAUUUAUCUUUGUAUUGGAAAAAAAAUAAAUAAAUAAAUGGUUUUAAAUGAAUCGCAUUAUAUUACGACUUAAGUAGAUGUAACAUGAAAUGUUAAUUUAAUUGAAAUAAUAAGUAGCUAAGGCUUAAUUUUACUGUCAGCUGUUAUCUAUAUUGAGGAAGUUCUUUAUUUUUUUAUUUUUUUAUUUUAUUUUUUAUAUAUUAUAAAACCUUUGUUGAUCCAAAGAAACUUUAUGACUUUUACGCAUAAAUCCUUCUACUUUAUUUGCUGAUUUUGUGUAAUGGAAAAAUGAACAAUGAAAAAAAAAAAAAAAAAAAAAAAAAAACCCACACAAUAUAAAUGGUAUAGGAGACAUUUUGAUUAGCUUUUAAAAUAAUCUCCUUUCUACGACUUGCUAGUCUGUACUUCAGAAAAUACUAAAUAGGAGUUGAAGGUAUUAGCUGAUGAGUUGCAUUUUAGAAAUGGAACCGUAGGAAAGAUAUUUCAAAAUAAUUAAAUAGAAAGAAAUGUAAAAUUUUAUAUGUUCAUGCAAUAUUCACGUCAAGACAUUUUCUAUAAUUUCCUCUCAGAAAAUGCCACGAACUGAAGGCCAUGGCUGGCCACCUGCUCCAGUGUCCUCAUCUCACUGCAGCAGUGCCUCUCAUGCCUUGCUGGACCUCUGAUUCUAAUCCAAGACACAGACUGAAAGUAUUGGGAAAAAAACAAAAAUCAAAAUGAAAAGCGAAAGAGAGAAAGUACCAAAUAUGGCUGGAAAUAUGAGGCAAAAGCUGCCGUGCUGCAGGCCAUUGCAGAAAGGAGAUUUUUUUAAAAAAAAUAAAUUAAAAUUUUUAAAAAUUGUUGGUAACUUCCGUGUCUGAAUUUCCUUGAAUUUGGGAUUCAUGGUCGUUUCAUAGUACUAUUGAAAUAAAAAAGAAGAAUAUAUGCUGAAAAUUAUGAAAAUUAAACGUCUGUGUGAGCAGUGUUUUAUUUAAUUCUCAUGGCUAAAAUCGACCUAUUCGACUCGUGUUUUCUACAACCGUGUUGGGUACGUAAAGAAUUCUCUCGGUGUCGUGUAAUUCAAUGUAACGUUGAGAACAUAUACUUACUUCUCAUAUUUAGUUUUCCUUGGUUGUAAGUAAAGUGGGUUAUUUUAUUAUAUUUGUUUUCCUUUGUGGAUUUUGUGUGGGUGGUCCGGUUCCCUUUGGGCCUUGUAGGUCACCAAAUCACACAGCGCCGUGCUGUCCUGGUGCCAUCCUGAGUUAAAGGCAAGCAAAGGGGCUCUGAUCAUUGGAGAUUCCCUUUGAUGGAUCCCACACUCUACCCCUCAAUGGGCCUAUAGCCCCCACUCAUUGGGCCCCUUUUCUUACUCACUCAAUCACACAUAGUAUCCCAUGCUGAAACUACCCAAGUUUUCAUUUCUUUCAAAAAGGAAAGAACAAGAAAGAAACGAAAAGGAAAUAAAAUAAAAGAAAAUGCUGCUCUUCAUUACAUGCAAAUGAGAUUAUCUCGAGAGACAUCUUUUGGGUGCAACAAAGUGAACAUGGAAUCAAAAAAUACAGAAUGCACCAAGAAAGGUCUGUGCAGUGCUUGGAAUGAGAAACGUUCAUCCAUGGAUGAAAGAUUCCAUGUGUCUUGUGAAAAAAAUAAUAAAAUAAUAAAAACCCUAUAUCUGUUCAAUUAAGAUAUAUGGUCAUUUGAAAAUAGAAGCAUUGCUUUAGUAACAUCAUUGUAUACUAUACAAGAACCAAAAGUGUACAUACUCAUUGAAACAUUUAAUGACUUUUAGCAAACAAGAUUACAACUUUUCUCUUGAAAUGUAGUUUUUAUUUUAAUUUAUUUUGUAUGUCAUUUUUUGUGUACAAGUUUUCAACGGUAGGAGUUAUAACUCCAAGAUCAUGCAAUGCCCUAUGCCAAGAAACAUCCACAUGUGCAAAAGUACAUAAAAACUGUCAAACAUGGUGGAAGUUUCUAACAAAUAAAACACAUUUCAAUUCACAAAUGUGCUUUUUUGGGGGGGAACCAUCACAGCUUCAAUCAUAAAUCAGCCAUGCAGGGGACAACACCUUCUCAUAAAAACUCUUGCAAACUCACUUCAGAACAAAAGAACUGAAAAUAAUGUGUUUUCUUCUUUAUGUUACAACAGUUGCAUGCAUCAUUGAUUGAUGAAUCUUUGCUGGAAUUCAUAAUAGUCAUAAUUUUUGCAAGUGUUCCUGUGUGUUUGUAUGAGAGCCAUUAAAUUUUUUUUUGCUUUUUUUUUUCUUAUAAAUGUGAGGACACACACACACACUCACACACACACACACACACAUAUAUAUAUAUAUAUAUAUAUAUAUAUAUAAACAUACUCUUGUUUUAGAAAUAACUUUCUGGUGGGCAGGGGAAAAUACUGUGAUGCCUAAUCCAAAUGAUGGAGGCUUUGAGUGAAUUAUGUGGGAAAAAGAUUCAAACUUUUGAAUAUGCUUUUGCAAUGAGUGUAGUCGUGCUCUUCAUACAAUGCUAUGAUGCCCAAUCAUGGGAGUAGUGGGUGGUUUAAUUUUCUUGAAGGGUAUUUGUAGGGUAACCAUUGGAAGAAGGCAAGAAAAAGAAACACAAAGACGAUGGCAAAAGAUAAGAAGAAUGGAAAGAGGCAAAAAAGCAGAAAAGAGAAGGAUGGAAAAAGAAUGAAUGAGGAAUUGAAAAGGUGUUUAUGGAAAGAAAAGUUAUAGGAAGGGAAAGCGGCAUAGAGUGAAAAGGAAAAAGUACAAGGGUUGAUUCCUGAGCAGAGGAAUUUGGGGCACUACACAUUGUUUGCCAAGUGGAUAACACCACGAGUCCAGCGUGGCAGCUGCCAGCUCCUCUCCACAUGGAACUCACCCACUACUAGGAAAUAUAUAAAAAAAGUAAAAAUUAGGAUUUGACCACAGCGUUGACAAGGGGGUGGUUGGUUCCAAAACUUAGAUACGGCAGCCCUAAUCUUUGGCCAAACAACAAGUAUCUCUCGUUUCUUGCUUCGUUCAAGUAAUCUCAGAGAAUUGAAUGUGGUGUAUCGAAUAUUUCACUGUGUUGUUUACUGUGUUAGAGGUGAACCACACAGUGCAACAUUCGAUACGUUUGAUGAAACACUUUUCAAUGAAAUGUUAUUUUGGGUAUCCGUUUUUGACAUUGGUGGAGUGGGAUGAGGGACAGUGAAAAUGGAUCUGAUGAUGAAGCGGCGUCGAGCUGACAGAGAGAGUGAGAGAGAGGAAAAGACAGCUCUUGGUGUGGGAUCAACAUCAUGGGGAACUUAUUGUUUUUGCAGAGGCGCAGUUGCAACAGCUGGGUUGUGAAGGAAUAGUAAAGUGGUGGUAAAAUUUUACAUGAGAAUAUUGGAUGGGUUUCGACAGCCUUCAAAAUUGAUUGAUUACCACAGCAGUGUAAAGGAAGGACAUGGGAACAAGGGUGGGCGCAGGAGCAAUCAAAAACUCAUGUUUAGGGUUCCGGGAAAGGUCAAACACAGCAUCUUAACAACUUCUGCAUAUGUUGGUACGAGAUUUUCCUGCCGGAAACGAAAGAAAAUGAAAAAAGUAAUGUGGAGAAGAAACAAACAAGGGAAGAUGGAGAAGGAGAAGACUGCCAAAUUCAAAUCGAGAUAAAAGUAGUGCACCCGACACCGCCUCGUUGCUGCGCUCGUGUAGCUGCGCUCGUGUAGCUGCGCUCGUUCGCCGUAUCCUACAACUCUUCACCCCAACUACAUCCGAAUCAGACAAUCAGUCGACUACUGUCACUUCGCAAUCUUUACAACAAUCACCAUCGUGACCGCGCAUCGAGGGUUUUUAUUUUUUGGGUUUGAGAAGCAAGCAUUGGCAAGGAUCAUGUUGACAUAGUCGCAAGCAGUAGUGACCAGGGUGGGUGUAGUGAUAGAUUGCGGCAAGUGUCGUGGAUAUAGCAGGGAUUUUGCGGACAAAGGCGCUGGUGCAGGUCGAUUUCUAGGCAAAUUGGUGUAGACCUUGUAAGCUCGUGGCCACCAGUAUGAUGAGAAGUUGUUGGGCAAUGCGACGACUCUCUCAAACAUCUUACUGUUGAUAAACUCCAAGUCGAUGUAUCAGAACCAAUGCACAUGGAACAAAACCACUUCAUAAAAUUUUCAACACACGUAGAGUACUAUGACAGAAUUUUUGGAGUCUCAACGCAAAUUGAAGUGAAAUCUGGAGUUGGAGCAUUUAACCUGGGCAAUUAUGAUCACUCCAAGAGUAUGUCGAUCAAGACUAAUGCGCCCAAUAACUUCGACGAGUGUUAAGAAACACGGAUAUAGAUAGAUGUGAGGUAUAGCUCAUGGGAGAAUGUCUCCGUGCCGGCCUUACUGAUAGCGCGCUUUUGAUGAUAAGGAUCAUACACAACUAUAUUGAAGCUUAGAUAAGUGGUAUGGUGAUAAUCGCCAGAAAAAUAAUGUCAUGUAGAAGUAAGCAGUACGACGAAACCCAUCAAAAGGGUUGCUGCGGUUCUUCCUGUCGAGUUAGAUGUCUAGUUGUACGCAGUCAGGAGAUAUGUUACAUGUGUCUUGAUCCACACAAAUAUAUUCAAUUCGCGUUGCUACAAUCCUACACGCAGAGACUGUUUCUACACGGUAAAGAAGUUUCAAUCGACUGGCAUUGCUCUGUAGAUCACGUUCAGAUUUGUCUCACGCCGGCCGUCCUGUGCUGUCAGUUGUAUACUGUUCACAUGCCAUAUCCAGAUGUCUGAUUUGGUCAAGGUACUGAGUGAGAUUCGGAGCUCCACGGUUCCAUCAAAAAAACAAUUAAAUAAGUUAUAUACUGGUCGAUAAACAAGCGAUGCUGGAGGCGGAAUAUUAUUUCUAAGUGUAUGUUCAUAAACUUCCCUACCUGACAUUCUCAAAAUAAAUUCGAAUUCUCUCCAUUUCAACAGAAACGAAGAAAUUUACAUGAACGAAAUGCAUGUUUAAGCUUUUCAGGAAACGCCCAACUGAUAACCUAGUCUAAACCCAUUAACAAUGUGAAUCUACGAUGAAGUUUGAGGCUCAGAACCCAGAAUGCCAGACGAAACGGUGAACCCAAGUAGAUUUCAGGACUUGGUAUGAACACAAUCGUCAACUACUUCUCGUCUUCCAGACGGAAAUGCAUUCCACACAAAUGUACGAUGCAGUUCCAUAAAAGACAAACUUCCAGUCUGAAAUUCUGAUCUGACUUGAAAACAAGAACCGAGCAAUUCAAUCAAGAGAAAAUUGUUACAUACGCAUGAUAAAAACUACAUUGAUUGCAGGUUUACCUCAAGCAGGAUAAGGUCCUAAAAUUUCGACUAAUAAUGGCAAUGAAAUGAACAACAAACCUCGACCAGUAAGCGACGAGUUACGCAGCUGUAAGAGAAGGGAGGCACUUCUUGAGCAUGGAUUCAAUUUUCGCCAACGAUAUCGCGCCCUCGUAGCGUCCACCAGGAAUGGGUUUGCCAUCUGCGAACAUGAUAAGCGUCGGCAACCCAUACACUUUGUACUCCUCAACAAGCGUUGGGUUAGGGUCCGUCUCAACCUUCACAACCUUCAACUUCCCAUCAUACUUCCUGUCAAUGGUGUCCAUGCUGCUGGCCACAAGCUUACAAGGUCCACACCAAUUUGCCCAGAAAUCAACCAGCACCGGCUCCUUCGAUUGCCGCACCUCUGCGUCAAAAUUAUCCUGGUUUACGCUAAUAACCUUACACCGAACUCCAAAGAUAGAAAUUCUCUGACUACCCUUGCUAACCAUCGCCCGCAACGACCCACAGCUCGCUGGCCCCUGCCAUCUCCACGAUACUUGCCGCAAUCCGCCACUACCCAACACCGGAAUCUGUGCCGAAACCCUACAUCCUGCUUCACAACAAUUGUUCCUAACCAAACCCGACGACACUGCCCCAGCCCUGCUCACCACUGCUUGCGACGAUGUCAACAUGAUAAUUGCCAAUGCUUGCUUCUCAAACCCAAAAAACAAAAAACCCUCGAUGCGCGGUCACGAUGGUGACUGUUGUAAAGAUUGAGAAUUGACAAUAGUCGACUGAUUGUCUGAUUCGGAUGUAGUUGGGGUGAAGAGCUGCAGGAUACGGCGAAAUGAGCGCAGCUAACCAAGCAGCAACGAGGCGGUGUCCGGUCCAUUACUUUUACCUCGAUCUCUAUUUUACUGGGUUCAUCUUCCCACGUUUGUUUGUUUUAUAAAAUGAUAUAAUUUUCUGGCGAAAUCCAUCCAAGGAAUUGAACAGAAGAAUCUAUUGGAUGGAUUUCAACGAACCAUCAAUCUGAACAGAAGAAUCUGGAAAACCUAUCUAGACAUACCAUGCCAAGAAUCUCUAACCCAACUGCUCUUCACAUCCCUAGUUAAAGCGGUUCAGAGAUUUUAUAUCCUUAACGCAUGUUUGAAAAACCCACCUAGUAAAAGAACAUCUACAUGUCUGCGAUCCUACCCAUUACCUUGCUAUCCUUGAAGUGCACAACAGGAAACAGAACAUGAAGAUGCCUCUUUGUCUGAAUUUGUUGACGCUGAGAACAUGGAUUCCAGGGCAUGGAGAAAUCUUGAGCGUGUUUAGCACGUAUAUCGAAGUAUUACCCAUCAAAUUAUUAGUUACUGUCAGAGAUUUGAUUGCGUGUCUAGCGAUUAAUCUGUGCAUAUUCCCAGCACGUUGUGAAUGUUCCAUGCAAUCUCCACGCGUACCAAGCCGGGAGAUCACGGGGUUGUGGCCUUAGGCCUUCGGGUCGGGACAGGGUUAAAAUAAGACCUGCCAGAUGUGAUGCGUUCUUAUCAUUCUGCAUUGAAAGUUGCGCGGAUUACGUUAGACACUCCACAUGGCAUACAAUUCAAACAGCAUGAGAACUCUGCCGGAUUGUGUACACAACACGAGCAAUUCUGCAUGUUCCGUGUAAGGAGUCGUGUGAAGCAGUCGUCACCAUUGAGGAAAUCCGGCGACGCGAUCAGACUCCGCCUCUGACCUUGAUGCUUUACAAAUUAGUGAGAGAGUCUCUGAUGUAUUCGAAGUAAGGCAUUUCUACCCACUCGGCACAAUGUGCUAAAAGCUUCUUCGAAGAACUGUGGGAGAGUAGUAAAUCAGGACUCGUCACAAUGUUCAGUAAAAUAAGAGUUUGUAUUUUCAGAAGGACUUGAUUUCAUUACAAUCAACGAAAUGUGAAAAUGCUCCGUGAUGUUGCAGCACAUAUUCAGUUUUAAUCAAAUCAACAUGGCCUUAUCUACCUACUCAUUUUUUAAGAAUUUCCGGAUAUAAUUUGAUGUUCAAAUUAAGGGAUGGAGAUAACUGCAUCGGGAGCUAGUAAGCAAACUUCAAUCGAUUAAGUAAACGAUCAUAGGAGGAAAUGGGGGUAGAAGACAGAGCCAACAACAGUUCAAAGUAGAAACAGGGAUCACUCCAAGAAAUAGAGUAAAGUUUCAUGAAUUGAUCGGAGCAAUUACAGUACAAAAAUUCCUAAUCUGUACAAUUGGAAACAACUUAUGGUUUCCUGCGAGCGGCAAAUCUCGGUGCCAAUGAAUAUGAGACUCGUCGCCUCGUUGUUCCUGAACUACGGUCUAUUGCAGGGGUUCAGAAAAUGCCCCGAAAAUCAAUUUGAAACACUAACACCACGCCAUCAAGUAAAAAACAGACUGGAGACACAUCCGUCUACCGCUGAGAUGCUCGAAUGAAAGUCUCGUAGAAAUUGAGCCCGUCAAACUGUGGCGCCAUCUUGGGAGUCCUGCUGCUACUCCUCCGAGCCGCCUCCUGCCUCAACCCAGCGUUCUUCUCAACGUCACGCUUCACUUGCUCUGCAUCCCCCUCCCGUCGCGAGCUAUCAACACCACUCACUCCUUUCGGCGACUCCAUCAUCGCAGCCUCAAAGCUCACCAACGCUACCGACCCUGCGGCCGAAGCAAUUCGGAUCCACUUCGAAAACGCACCCAUAAUUCAGAGUUUCAAACCUACCACAACCUUGCCAAAAUCUCCUGUAACGAUGUCUCCCUUCCAAAUUGAGCACAGAUCCGCGCAGCACACACUACCAGUACGGGCCAAAGAGAUAAAGAGCUAAAGAGCACACAAUGAAGUGCAACGAAUCUCAAUCCUGUAUAAAAGCAAUCAAAAGUCUGCAAUUCACCACGACGCGCCAAUAAUCAAUCCUACCUCGGUUGCUGGUGGCGUGCGACUCUUAUUAUUUCGGCGUGAAGUUACGGCAGCCUUCAUUCAGCUUGCCUAGUCCGCAACGCGGCAACCAGAAGCUUCACGAGAGACCAAUCAAAAGCAUCUCCUAUAACCGCUCACCUGUACAUUAUACUUGGAUUUAGCUAACACAUGUUCGCAUUAUCGACAGGCUCGGAGAGGACGAGUCCACGCUGCGCGGAGACUAUAAACGGCAUUGGGGGCUGAAAGUUCACCGCGUGGGCUGUCGCGGUCGCGCGUUCAAAUGUUGGAGGUGAGACUGGGUUCGGAUG
rnacentral:lncRNA from 1 species